GACGAACCGAGCGAACGUUGUUCGGAAUCACUGGGCAUAAAGGGCGCGUAGGCGGGCCGUCAAGUCAGGGGUGAAAUCCUCCAGCUUAACUGGAGAACUGCCUUUGAUACUGACGGCCUCGAGUGAGGUAGGGGCGUGCGGAACUGAUGGUGGAGCGGUGAAAUGUGUUGAUAUCAUCAGGAACUCCGGUGGCGAAAGCGGCACGCUGGACCUUUACUGACGCUGAGGCGCGGAAGCCAGGGGAGCGAACGGG
rnacentral:rRNA from 1 species